CCGGCGAUGUCCGAAUGGGGAAACCCAGUGCAAUUCGUUGCACUAUCGUUAACUGAAUACAUAGGUUAACGAGGCGAACCGGGGGAACUGAAACAUCUAAGUACCCCGAGGAAAAGAAAUCAACCGAGAUUCCCCCAGUAGCGGCGAGCGAACGGGGAGCAGCCCAGAGUCUGAAUCAGCUUGUGUGUUAGUGGAACGGUCUGGAAAGUCCGACGGUACAGGGUGAUAGUCCCGUACACCAAAAUGCACAGGCUGUGAACUCGAAGAGUAGGGCGGGACACGUGGUAUCCUGUCUGAAUAUGGGGGGACCAUCCUCCAAGGCUAAAUACUCCUGACUGACCGAUAGUGAACCAGUACCGUGAGGGAAAGGCGAAAAGAACCCCGGCGAGGGGAGUGAAAAAGAACCUGAAACCGUGUACGUACAAGCAGUGGGAGCACCUUCGGGUGUGACUGCGUACCUUUUGUAUAAUGGGUCAGCGACUUAUAUUCUGUAGCAAGGUUAACCGUAUAGGGGAGCCGCAGGGAAACCGAGUCUUAACUGGGCGUUAAGUUGCAGGGUAUAGACCCGAAACCCGGUGAUCUAGCCAUGGGCAGGUUGAAGGUUGGGUAACACUAACUGGAGGACCGAACCGACUAAUGUUGAAAAAUUAGCGGAUGACUUGUGGCUGGGGGUGAAAGGCCAAUCAAACCGGGAGAUAGCUGGUUCUCCCCGAAAGCUAUUUAGGUAGCGCCUCGUGAACUCAUCUUCGGGGGUAGAGCACUGUUUCGGCUAGGGGGUCAUCCCGACUUACCAACCCGAUGCAAACUACGAAUACCGAAGAAUGUUAUCACGGGAGACACACGGCGGGUGCUAACGUCCGUCGUGAAGAGGGAAACAACCCAGACCGCCAGCUAAGGUCCCAAAGUCAUGGUUAAGUGGGAAACGAUGUGGGAAGGCACAGACAGCCAGGAUGUUGGCUUAGAAGCAGCCAUCAUUUAAAGAAAGCGUAAUAGCUCACUGGUCGAGUCGGCCUGCGCGGAAGAUGUAACGGGGCUAAACCAUGCACCGAAGCUGCGGCAGCGACACUAUGUGUUGUUGGGUAGGGGAGCGUUCUGUAAGCCUGCGAAGGUGACCUGUGAGGGUUGCUGGAGGUAUCAGAAGUGCGAAUGCUGACAUAAGUAACGAUAAAGCGGGUGAAAAGCCCGCUCGCCGGAAGACCAAGGGUUCCUGUCCAACGUUAAUCGGGGCAGGGUGAGUCGACCCCUAAGGCGAGGCCGAAAGGCGUAGUCGAUGGGAAACAGGUUAAUAUUCCUGUACUUGGUGUUACUGCGAAGGGGGGACGGAGAAGGCUAUGUUAGCCGGGCGACGGUUGUCCCGGUUUAAGCAUGUAGGCUGAUUGUCCAGGCAAAUCCGGAUAAUCAAGGCUGAGGUGUGAUGACGAGGCACUACGGUGCUGAAGUAACAAAUGCCCUGCUUCCAGGAAAAGCCUCUAAGCAUCAGGUAACAUCAAAUCGUACCCCAAACCGACACAGGUGGUCAGGUAGAGAAUACCAAGGCGCUUGAGAGAACUCGGGUGAAGGAACUAGGCAAAAUGGUGCCGUAACUUCGGGAGAAGGCACGCUGGUGUGUAGGUGAAGUCCCUGCGGAUGGAGCUGAGACCAGUCGAAGAUACCAGCUGGCUGCAACUGUUUAUUAAAAACACAGCACUGUGCAAACACGAAAGUGGACGUAUACGGUGUGACGCCUGCCCGGUGCCGGAAGGUUAAUUGAUGGGGUUAUCCGUAAGGAGAAGCUCUUGAUCGAAGCCCCGGUAAACGGCGGCCGUAACUAUAACGGUCCUAAGGUAGCGAAAUUCCUUGUCGGGUAAGUUCCGACCUGCACGAAUGGCGUAAUGAUGGCCAGGCUGUCUCCACCCGAGACUCAGUGAAAUUGAACUCGCUGUGAAGAUGCAGUGUACCCGCGGCAAGACGGAAAGACCCCGUGAACCUUUACUAUAGCUUGACACUGAACAUUGAGCCUUGAUGUGUAGGAUAGGUGGGAGGCUUUGAAGCGUGGACGCCAGUCUGCGUGGAGCCAACCUUGAAAUACCACCCUUUAAUGUUUGAUGUUCUAACGUUGGCCCCUUACCGGGGUUGCGGACAGUGUCUGGUGGGUAGUUUGACUGGGGCGGUCUCCUCCCAAAGCGUAACGGAGGAGCACGAAGGUUAGCUAAUCCUGGUCGGACAUCAGGAGGUUAGUGCAAUGGCAUAAGCUAGCUUGACUGCGAGCGUGACGGCGCGAGCAGGUGCGAAAGCAGGUCAUAGUGAUCCGGUGGUUCUGAAUGGAAGGGCCAUCGCUCAACGGAUAAAAGGUACUCCGGGGAUAACAGGCUGAUACCGCCCAAGAGUUCAUAUCGACGGCGGUGUUUGGCACCUCGAUGUCGGCUCAUCACAUCCUGGGGCUGAAGUAGGUCCCAAGGGUAUGGCUGUUCGCCAUUUAAAGUGGUACGCGAGCUGGGUUUAGAACGUCGUGAGACAGUUCGGUCCCUAUCUGCCGUGGGCGCUGGAGAAUUGAGGGGGGCUGCUCCUAGUACGAGAGGACCGGAGUGGACGCAUCACUGGUGUUCGGGUUGUCAUGCCAAUGGCACUGCCCGGUAGCUAAAUGCGGAAGAGAUAAGUGCUGAAAGCAUCUAAGCACGAAACUUGCCCCGAGAUGAGUUCUCCCUGAGACUUUAAGUCUCCUGAAGGAACGUU
rnacentral:rRNA from 1 species